ACACCAUUUCAAAACCCACAAAUUUCACUCAAUAGAGUGAUUUAACAUUUAAAAAUGCAUAGGAGAUUCUUUGAUACCAUAAAUACCCAAUUACAGCUUGAAAUAAAAAAAAAAUAAAAAAAAAGAUCACUGGAACCACCACCAAUGUCUCCACUACCAACACCACUAAACCACUACUGCUGAUUUAACAGAAUCACGGAGGCAACUGACUGCUCAAUCAGGCUCCUCGUUGACUGUUCCACGGUCAAGUAAACGUAUGGUACAUGAAAGCUACUCAUACAUACCACGGGUGGAAUUACACAAGUAUGGGUGUUUUAUGACUGUGCCUCUUUUGUUACUGUAUCCAAUAGAAUCUUUACCUUGUCCUACUAAAGUAAAUCAGUAGCUAACAUUAAAAAUAAAAAUGUGAACUGUGAUUUAA